rnacentral:rRNA from 1 species
UACGAAGGGGGCUAGCGUUGUUCGGAAUUACUGGGCGUAAAGCGCACGUAGGCGGACUAUUAAGUCAGGGGUGAAAUCCCGGGGCUCAACCCCGGAACUGCCUUUGAUACUGGUAGUCUCGAGUCCGGAAGAGGUGAGUGGAAUUCCGAGUGUAGAGGUGAAAUUCGUAGAUAUUCGGAGGAAACACCGAGUGGCGAAGGCGGCUCACUGGUCCGGUACUGACGCUGAGGUGCGAAAGCGUGGGGAGCAAACAGG